UACGGAGGGUGCGAGCGUUGUCCGGAAUCACUGGGCGUAAAGGGCGCGUAGGCGGCGCGGGUAGUCAUCGGUGAAAGUUCAGGGCUCAACUCUGAAUCGGCCGGUGAUACUCCCGUGCUCGAGCACUGUAGAGGCAGGUGGAAUUCCGGGUGUAGCGGUGGAAUGCGUAGAGAUCCGGAAGGAACGCCGGUGGCGAAAGCGACACACUGGGUCUCAACUGACGCUGAGGCACGAAAGCCAGGGGAGCGAACGGG
rnacentral:rRNA from 1 species